rnacentral:lncRNA from 1 species
UGAUCCUUGCUUCACCUCAAACCCAUACUCAUCAUUCCAGAAAAUGUUACAUUUCAUUGACCUUUUAGUGUUCUCUUCCAAGACUUUCAUGACCAUUGGUGAAAAAUCACUAAUCCAUGUGUUUUCAAACUGUCUUAGCUAACCUAUUAUAUAUUUAUCAUCUUCACCCUUAUUUCUUCAAGCAUUAUCACUAUAGUCUUCUGCCUUGCUGCCAAAAUCCAGGCAUUGAAACAUUCUGUCAUAUUGUUGUCAACAAUAUCAGACUUGCAGAAAGUGUUGUAGUACACCUUACUAUAUCUUUUAAUGUUGUAGUAUAAUAGUUCAUCAACUAUGUUAGUCCCCAAUGUUUCCAUGUCAUCUAGAUUUUUCUUCAAUUCCCACUCAUAGGUAGACCUUACACACCUACGAAAGAAGUUUCUUCUCUUUAUGCCCCUCCAUUUCUUAGACCGGUUAGCUAGGAUAUGCCUUGCACACAUUCUAUGCUCAAACUUUGGAAGUAGGUCUGCUAUAGCAUUCUCA